UUCGGACAUCAAGAGUAGGGCUGACGCCCUCGCCAACCUGCCUACCCGGCAAGGUGGUGCUCCGAAAGGAGGAUGUGGCCAUAGACGGCAACUAAAGGGUCUAAG
rnacentral:ncRNA from 10 species